UACAGAGGGUGCGAGCGUUGUCCGGAAUCACUGGGCGUAAAGGGCGCGUAGGUGGCGGCAUAAGGCCGCGGUGAAAGUUCGGGGCUCAACCCUGCGUCGGCCAUGAAUACUGCCGCGGCUGGAGCACUGUAGAGGCAGGCGGAAUUCCGGGUGUAGCGGUGGAAUGCGUAGAGAUCCGGAAGAACACCGGUGGCGAAGGCGGCCUGCUGGGCAGUUGCUGACACUGAGGCGCGACAGCGUGGGGAGCAAACAGG
rnacentral:rRNA from 1 species